CGAAUACUUUGUGGCGACCGGCGCACGGGUGCGUAACGCGUAUGCAACCUACCUUUAACAGGGGCAUAACACUGAGAAAUUGGUACUAAUUCCCCAUAACAUUCGAGAAGGCAUCUUCUUGGGUUAAAAACUCCGGUGGUUAAAGAUGGGCAUGCGUUGUAUUAGCUAGUUGGUGAGGUAACGGCUCACCAAGGCAACGAUACAUAGGGGGACUGAGAGGUUAACCCCCCACAUUGGUACUGAGACACGGACCAA
rnacentral:rRNA from 1 species